UACGUAGGGGGCAAGCGUUGUCCGGAUUUAUUGGGCGUAAAGAGCGUGUAGGCGGCCAGACAGGUCCGUUGUGAAAACUAGAGGCUUAACCUCUAGACGUCGAUGGAAACCGUCUGGCUAGAGUCCGGAAGAGGAGAAUGGAAUUCCUGGUGUAGCGGUGAAAUGCGCAGAUAUCGGAAGGAACAUCAGUGGCGAAAGCGACUUCCUGGACCAAUACUGACGCUCAUGUGCGAAAGCGUGGGGAGCAAACAGG
rnacentral:rRNA from 1 species